rnacentral:rRNA from 1 species
AAUCAACGCUGGCGGCGUGCCUCAGACAUGCAAGUCGAACGAUUAAAGCUCUCUUCGGAGAGUGUAUAGAGUGGCGCACGGGUGAGUAACACGUAAGUAAUCUACCUUUGAGUGGGGAAUAACCCGGGGAAACCCGAGCUAAUACCGCAUAAUGCAGCGGCACCGCAAGGUGACAGUUGUUAAAGGAGCAAUCCGCUUAAAGAGGAGCUUGCGGCAGAUUAGCUAGUGGUAAGGUAAUGGCUUACCAAGGCUUCGAUCUGUAUCCGGCCUGAGAGGGGCGGUCGGACACACUGACACUGAAUAACGGGUCAGACUCCUACGGGAGGCAGCAGUCGGGAAUUUUGGGCAAUGGGCGAAAGCCUGACCCAGCAACGCCGCGUGAAGGAUGAAGUAUUUCGGUAU